rnacentral:rRNA from 1 species
GACCAGUAAAAUAAGUGAAAAAUGAAACAACUUUGAGCGGUGGAUCACUCGGCUCGUGCGUCGAUGAAGAGCGCAGCCAGC